rnacentral:rRNA from 1 species
UACGUAGGGGGCAAGCGUUGUCCGGAUUUAUUGGGCGUAAAGAGCGUGUAGGCGGCUUUACAGGUCCGUUGUGAAAACUCGAGGCUCAACCUCGAGACGCCGGUGGAAACCGUAAAGCUAGAGUCCGGAAGAGGAGAGUGGAAUUCCUGGUGUAGCGGUGAAAUGCGUAGAGAUCGGGAGGAACACCAGAGGCGAAGGCGGCGACCUGGACAAUUACUGACACUCAACUGCGAAAGCGUGGGGAGCAAACAGG